rnacentral:rRNA from 1 species
CAGCCGCCGCGGUAAAACGAAGGGGGCUAGCGUUGUUCGGAUUUACUGGGCGUAAAGGGCGCGUAGGCGGACUGAUAAGUCAGGGGUAAAAUCCCAAGGCUCAACCUUGGAACUGCCUUUGAUACUGUUUGUCUUGAGUUCGAGAGAGGUAAGUGGAACUGCGAGUGUAGAGGUGAAAUUCGUAGAUAUUCGCAAGAACACCAGUGGCGAAGGCGGCUUACUGGCUCGAAACUGACGCUGAGGCGCGAAAGCGUGGGAAGCAAACAGGAUUAGAGACCCGAGUAGUCCCUGUCUCUUAUAC